rnacentral:siRNA from 1 species
AGCAACAGAGCGAUCACUGGUA